GCCCUUCCUCUUUUCGUACUCCCGCUUCUCAUCCCGCCAGUAAUUCCCGCAACAAAUCCCGCGAGCCCAGUGCGCCGGAUCUCCGAUUGUGUAACGCCGUCCUCGAGAGGACGAGAUCCCGAUCCCGUUCCCUGCCGCCACACUCCUCGAGCUGCUCCUGCCGCCGCCCCAAAAAUUUGCAGCCGCCUCCUCUUCCCCUCGCGUCCACCUCCCAUCCCAGGCGCCGCCUCCACCGUCUCCUCCCACGUGUUUUCUCCGCCGGAACGGUGUUCCCGGCGAUCGCCCGAGUAGAGGGAGACGAGGAUGCGAGGGAGGAGCUCUGGUCCGGUGGCGCCAUCACCCACAAGUCGACCCAGCCGUUGAUCCCCGUCACGAUUGGACCUCCGGCGGACAUGGGUUGGCCCACUGGAGGGGUCCUCUCCCUAGCGCCGCCGCCGGCAGGUUGCGUUGGUUGAUCUCUGUUUCCAAGAGUUCCAGGAAGUGGAGAGAGGCCCAUCAGUCACAAAAUAAAGCUUACCGAAAAAGACAUGGUCAUCUCAACUUCUCGAGGAUUACAUUGGCGGCUCCAGAAACAUGGCAAAAAGGAAGAUGUUUCGCUCAAGUUUUUUUGUACACCUGCUAAUCUAUCUGCAUGCAUUUUUGUUAUCAUAUGGCCUGAGCUGGCAGCUGAAUAAUGUUGAUGCAAGGUUAUGGCUUCAUUUUGCAGUUUGAUUAUGGCCGUAUUUUACUAUAUAACAAAGUGAUUUAUGACCAUGGGGACAACACAGCUGCUUCAGAUCCAUGUCUUGUCAAGGAGAGGCCAGCAACAUACAACUGGAGUGUCCAUUUUGUUGGCUUACAAUGUGCAAGACUGCAAGUGCAACCCAAAUGUUAAUAGUUUUUUAAUCUUAUUUCCAUCUGUGUGAUCUGGAGGGCAGAUGAGCAUGUCAUGCCCAAUUUCGGGCAUGACACUUCUGAACCAUCAAGAAAAUUGAGGAAACAGCUAUUUGAGAUUACCUCUCUUCGUUCAAAGCAUAAGUUGGUAUAGUGACACUACAAAUAUACUACCAAUGACGUGAAUAUACCUCGCUACUUGGAUGAGAUGCUUGUAAUUUGAUUAUUCAGAAUCAAGAAGAGGUAAACUAAGAAGCGCCUUGUGGCAGCAUUCUGGAGUAUCUGUACUGGCAAGAUCUCGUUUCACCCCCACCCAACCCAAAAUCGAAAGCUGCUCUUUUCUCUGAUGGCUUUCAAGGCAACAAAAAUACAACAGGAUAAAUGCAAGCUUCCUUGGAUGCUCUGCGUGAGACAUAUAUGACACGCAAACAUUUGAUUUUCUUGGUUUCUCUUGCAGCAAAAUGGUCAAUUUUGCAUACCGUCAAAAGGAAAGUGCUCAGUUUUGCAUUGGACACCAAUCAACAAGCUUGUCUCGGUACUUUCAGAAGCAAAAGCAAAAGGUCAAGGUGUAUGUACUUUCUUAGUUUGCUCCUAUGCCUCCACGAUGUAAUGUCCUUGCUUCCUGUUAGUGUUCAUUUUGUUGUUAUUUAGAGAUGAUGCGUCUGUAGUUCAUCAUUUGUUCUCUGAAUAUCUGAAAAACAUGUGGUAAUGUUCUUGCUUUCUGGUACUUUUGUUU